rnacentral:rRNA from 1 species
AUGGGUUUGGGCAAACAAAACCCGGUGAGUUUCGUCCCCAUUGCCAUCUUGAGCCAGGGGGCUUUGGGGCUGCCAGGCUGCGAGACCCGCUGCGGCAACAUGAGCGUGCCUUACCCGUUCGGCAUAGGCCCGGACAGGCGCUACUUGCCAGGGUUCAAGCUCACAUGCGUCGACCACGGAAGGAGCAAGCCGCGGCGGCUGCUCCUCGGCGAUGGUGGACCAUUCGAGGUCGUCGACAUCUUCGUGGAGAACAACACGAUGCGCGUCGUCAGCCAUGGGGUGCACGCCAUAAACAUGAGCGGCUCCCACGACGGCGGGUACGGCCGGUGGAGUCUCGGGGACUUGGUCGGCGGGGCUCCAGUGCCAUACGUCCCGAUUCCGUACUGGAACGAGUUCAUCCUCACCGGGUGCAACGUGCAGGCGACGCUGGUGAGGAACGGGACCGGCGGCUUCAUCGUCAGCGGCUGUGCCUCAUUCUGCACCGCCAUCGAUGAGUGGUCCAACACGCCGUUCAGGGACGACGGCAUGUGCUCCAACAUCGGCUGCUGCCAGGCGACCAUCCCCCUAGGCUGGGCGUCCUACGGCGUGGAGCUCAAGCGGCUCAACGACAGCCAGCCCAAGGGCACCGUCAGCGUGCUCAUCGCCGAGAAGGGUUGGUUCAACAAGAACCUGACCACCAGUAUAUACCCGGGUCACCCACGUCUGGUUACACCGGAGCUGAAGGCCAAGCUGACCGUCCCCGUGAUUCUCAAUUGGGCGGCGGCGCACGGCACGGCGGCGAACCGCUCUCAGCCUCCUUAUGCUUUGGAUCCAUGCCCCGACGACGCUGCCCGGAGCAUCUGCAAGAGCAGCAACAGCCGGUGCGAGGAUGCGGGAUACUAUACACUCAUAGCCUCCACGCCCUACUACAGGUGCAGCUGCAACCAUGGGUACGAGGGCAACCCUUACCUCACCGGCGGGUGCCAAGAUAUCAAAGAGUGCAACCGGAAAGAAGGCCAUGCGUGCUUCGGCGACUGUGAGGAACUGCCCGGAUCAUUCCGGUGCCGGUGCCCGGAAGGAACUCGUGGCGACUUCCGCAGGCCCGGUGGCUGCGUCGCGGUCAAGUCCACAAACACAACAUCCGCAAUUGCAAGCACGGGUUUAAUCAUUGGUGUGUCGGUUGUUAGUGGCCCAUGCAUUCUACUUUUGGUUCUUGGUGCUGUCCACAUAACCCAUAAUCUUAAGCAACGCAAGGCAAAGACGUUGAGGCAAAAGUUCUUCAGUCAAAACCGUGGACAGCUGUUGAAGCAGUUGGUGUCUCAUAGGGCAGACAUAGCGGAGAAGAUGCUCAUCUCUUUAGAAAAAGCUAGAGAAGGCUACCAACAAUUUUGAUCAAGCCCGUAGGCUUGGUGGCGAGGGCAUGGCACUGUCUAUAAAGGGAUCUUGUCGGACUUGCAUGUCAUGGCUAUCAAAAAGUCAAAUAUUGUUGUCAAGAGAGAAAUCGACGAGCUCAUAAAUGAGGUUGCCAUACUCUCACAAAUCAACCAUAGGAAUAUUGUGAAGCUCCAUGGAUGUUGCCUCAAGACAGAAGUCCCUUUAUUGACUUACGAGUUCAUUUCUAAUGGAACACUUAGUGACCAUCUUCACACGGAAGAACAAGGAUCGUUGCCUUGGAAAGAUAGGUUAAGGAUCACAUGUGAAAUAGGAAAAGCUCUAGCUUACCUUCACUCUACUAUUUCUGUCCCUGUAAUACAUCGAGAUAUCAAGCCUGCCAACAUACUUCUUGAUGAUGCCUUGACAGCAAAAGUAUCGGACUUCAGAGCUUCAACGUACAUCCCAGUGGAUAAAACUGGAACAACAACUGCGGUCCAAGGAACAAUAGGGUACUUGUUCCUUAUGUAGUAUUACACGGGACGUCUAACAGAAAAUAGUGAUGUUUAUAGCUUUGGGGUCCUUCUUGUCGAAUUGCUUACUAGGAGGAAGCCAGCUUUGUACAGGUCUUCUGAAGGUGAUGGGCUUGUCAUGCAAUUUGUUACAUUACUUGCAGAAGGUAACUUGACCGAAAUAUUGGAUCCACAAGUUGUAGAGGAGGGAGGUAGCGAAGUGAAAGAAGUAGCUACUUUAGCUGCAUUAUGCGUAAAAUUGAAAGCAUAG